GAGAGCGCACGAGAGCCAAAAUACUUCGCUCCAGAGACUUAGCGGCCGCCCCAGAUCUAGCCCAAAUCACCAUCUGCUCCAACCCUAGCCGCCGCCAACACGAGACGACGCCGAGCACCCACCACUGCCCGACCCCAGCCGCCCCUGACCACCCAUCGCAGCAGCUGUCCUCUCGGACCACCGCCGCCGCCGAGCACCCUCCUCCGUCGCCGUCAAGUACCCUCCUACACAGAUCUCGUCCGCGCUCCACCCAUCCCCAGCGCCGCCCAUCCCCAGCGCCGCCCAGAUGUCGCCUCUCCUUCCAUGCUUUCUCCCCGGGCAGCACUGUCUCUCCUAGGGUUUGCGCCACCGACCAUCCUAGUCGCCCCCCUCCCGUGCGUGCUCACCUCGACGUCAUGCUCUCCAGCCUAUCGUCCUUCGUCCGUGCUCCUCCGACCUCCCCCUUUUGUACUUCGAGCGUGAGGUAUGGUCCUGGUGCUUCCCGUUCUCUUGUAUUCUUUACUGUUCUUUCAAUUUUUCCAAUGAUCUGUAACACACAUGAGCACAUCUGCCAAAUCUUCUUCCUCUGCUUUGAGGAAAAUAGCAGAGCACUCUGAUGGAAGAACGUAUCUGGGACAGUCAGCCUCAGCCAGUGAAGACUAUAGCUCUAGGAAUAGUUGCCGCAUUGUUUUACUGGUAAAUACUUGUGACAAAGUGCUAUUUUCAGCUGUAAACAUUCAGCCUACACUAUGUACUGCAUGUUUUACUAAUAAUUGCUGCCUGGUAUCUUGUCUGACCUGAAACAUAUGGUCACUUUAGUAAUAGCAACAUCAAAGUAGAAAUUGGGUUGGGCAAGGAAUUCAUGAUUCUGGCCCAACUUUUGUUAGAUGUGUAAAUUGAAAAAUGUUUGUCAACUAUGAUUAUUUUGUUUCAAAUAAUAACACGUAAAAACCUUGUUUUGUUUGCAUGUUAUGGUUUAGGAGGUUGAACAGAAUAUUAAGACGCAUAAUAAGUACCUGUCUUAUUUGCUCAUGAAAAUGUUUGAUCUUAACAUAGGAGCAUGAUCUGACCCCAUGCGUAUGUUAGCAGUCUGGUUUUCAUGCCUUUUGUGAAUGCAAAGUGGCACUUGAUGCAUAGCUAGUGUCAAAAGACCUUCAUAAUUUGGACUGCUAAUUCUCGUGGAUUAUCUAUCUGUUUGUUUGAAACUGCUGUGCAUUGCCAACAUAUUUCUUCCAGCAAUUUUGCAGUUGGAUUCCUUUCUUUCCAAGUUUAAUUGUGUCAUUCUUGUAAUUUCUUUACUGUGCUAUGCAAAAUGAACCAUCUUUUGGUGGUGCUUGAGUCAUGGGCAUAGAUGCAUCUAACCAAAUAAUGCUUGCUUCUGGGAAGGCACCUAGUGUAGGUGGAGAACAUGUUCUAAGAAAGCGGCUCCAAAAAGAUUUUUCCGCUUCUACUAUGGGACCUUGCAUGUGGGAUGAUGAGGGCAAUCAAAGCAGUCUACUGGGAGUCGUUUGCUAGGCUUUCUCCAAUCAAAAAGGCUGAGGAGGAGAAGUAGCUAAAUAGAAUUAGACUUUAUCUUGUGAAAAGGCUGAGGAGGAGAAGCAGCUAAGCAAUAGUUCGCUUUCCCUAGUUGAAAAGGUUGAGCUGAACUAGACUUUUCAAGCUUUAGUGCAUUGAGCUGGCAGCAGCAAGCUUCUAGGUAGCUAUCUCACAUUCGCGUACAACUGCAAUAGGCAGUUUGUAAUCCCCUAUUAAAGGAGCCGUGCUCCUCCAUUGUAAAUCAGGGCCAUUUCAUUUCUAUCCAGCCAAGCCUCAAGUGUAGUACUACUAAAUAUACGUGUAUGUGUUUUGCUAGAAUGCUUAAGCAUAAAUAGUUAGUACUUCCUCCGUCCGGAAAUACUUGUCAUCAAAAUGGAUAAAAGGGGAUGUAUCUAGACAUAUUUUAGUUCUAGAUACAUCUCUUUUUAUCCAUUUUGAUGACAAGUAUUUUCGGACGGAGGGAGUAGCACACAACUGCUACUGUGUGAGUUCCUCUGUUCUUGUGUGUUGCCGCAGCAAGUGUGCAGCUGGCUGCUAUUUAGUCCUCUGCUAGAUUGUACAAGACAGAGAGCUAGUUACUCGCCAGUAGUUUUGGUCUAACAUUUUCUUUAGUUGGCAUCCUUCAAGGACCAUCCUUAUUAGUUACUUACAGCAAUUUUGUUGAUUAUGGAUUAUGGAUCAUCAUCAGACGGCCAUGCACAUGCAUAGAACCCACAUUUUUUUCUAGCUAGCUAGUUUCUACUCCCUUUGUCCCAUAAUGUAAGAUGUUUUUUGAUACUACACUAGUGUUAAAAAGAUGUCUUACAUUAUGGGACGGAGGGAGUAGUUGUUACUGUUUGCAGGCGUAAGAAAUGAGAACGGCACUGAAUAGCCAUGCUCAAGGCUUUUUACGUUACCAAAGAGGACGCCCCUCUACGGGGAAUCUCCAGCGGCGACAGUUAUACACUGACUGGAUUGUUGUUAUACACUGCCUGAAUAGCCUUGUUUUUAUGUUGCUACACACUGCCUGAAUUGUUAAAGGCCUUGAUUGACUUUCAUUGAUUGCUAUAAUAAUGAAAAACUGUCCAGAAGCAGGACUAGUCUGUUUCUUUGAUUAUAAAUAAUCAACAAUUGGUAAGUUUGUCUAGCUUAAUUGUUUCUGAAAUUUGCACAACACGUCAGGUAGAUAUAUGGUGGAAAGGUGAAGGGCACAUGUACACAUAUUUUGUUGUAUCAGUGGCUGGCUGUUCAAGCUCAUGUGAUUUAGUUUAAAAUACUGCUGUAAAUAUUGCAUCUGUGAUACGUCUCGUGAUUUUGCAAAUACUGUAUAAUAUUAUGGUUUUCACAAACUCUGGUAUUUUGUAGCUAGAGGUUUAGAAACUGUAGUUUUCGAAUACUACAAUUUUACAUAUACUACUAUGCACCCAAACAGAGCCUUUUAAAAACUGAGCAGGACUAUUGAUGUCUGGAUAGAAGUCCUUGCUGAAAAAUGCUUGGCCUGGAGCCUCCUUGCAAAGUGCCUGGACUAUGUUUAGUUGAUGUCCUGAAGAAAUGUCUAUUGACUUCUGCUAUUUGCAUUAGAACACUUGUCCUUAUGUGAUAUAAAGAUUGCAUUUUUAUUGUGCUGUCUUGUGCUUCCAUCACUAGUUGCAUGUUUAUGAUACAGCAGGUUUAUCGUUCUAUGAGAGCUCCAUUUUGAGUUUCCGGUCUGUUGCAGGUUUUCAAAGACACACAAGUUGAUGGAGGUUUGCAAGAUCUACAUACAAGCGGUUGACGGUUUGGAAGUUCUACAGCGGCUGAAGGUUUGGAGGACAUACAAUUAAGUUGGUGUAGUGAUAAUGUAGUGCACCUAGUUUGUUGAACCUGGAGACAUUGGCAAGUUCUGCUUAUUUUGGUGGUUGUUUUGGUACACAAGCCAUUGGAUGCUCAUUUUGGUUGUGUGGCACAUCUAGAAACAUACGUACUUUUUUGUGCCAGCACAAGUCCUUAUGUAUGGUUGUUUCCUAUAUGUAUGUAUCCAGAAACAUAUGUAUCUGGCAUGUUAUGUUUAUAUUGAAGGAAGUUUAAGGUUUUUAA